UACGUAGGUGACAAGCGUUGUCCGGAUUUACUGGGCGUAAAGAGCGCGCAGGCGGUCGAUCAAGUCGAGUGUGAAAGCCCCCGGCUCAACUGGGGAGGGUCAUUCGAAACUGAUCGACUUGAAGGCAGGAGAGGGUAGUGGAAUUCCCGGUGUAGUGGUGAAAUGCGUAGAUAUUAGGAAGAACACCAGUGGCGAAGGCGCUCUACUGGGCCAUUACUGACGCUGAUGGACGAAAGCUAGGGGAGCGAAAGGG
rnacentral:rRNA from 1 species